AGAUGGUCUCGACAAGAAGGUCCCGGAGCUCCUCCGUCGGUUGCGGGUCGUACGUCGACGGCAGCCACUCAGGCCUCGCCGUGGACACAAGGUGGAGUCGAGGAGAAGCAGUUGGCAUGGACAUUCCGUUUCUCUCUGAUGUCUGAGAAGAAAGUCCGUCUUCGGUGCAGCGAUAUCCAACAGGAAGCAUGUGAUGCAUUCAAGAUUCACGAAAACCAAUAUUGUGGUCCUCCCUGUGGUCACCCAGCAGUGGAGGUAAUUGUUUAGCUUGCAUCCUGCAACUUCUUGUAUCUGGAAAGAACACUCCUAUUUGCUGAGUUCACAGGCAAUGUAUCUUCACUUUUGAAAAACUGCAUUGGAUGUACCAACAUAAAUAUAUUAAUAUCAUGAUGAUCUAAUAGCAAAUUAUAUGGCCAUAGGCAGUGAUGAUCAAUAAAAGGGCACUGGAAUUUAUCUUCUAAUGUAUACGUCACUAUCUUUUUA